rnacentral:rRNA from 1 species
GAUUAUGGCUCAGGAUGAACGCUGGCGGCGUGCCUAACACAUUCAAGUCGAACGGACGCGUUCCCUCGGGGGACAAGUUAGUGGCGGACGGGUGAGUAAUGCAUGAGCAACCUGCCUCGAAGAGGGGAAUAACACAGAGAAAUUUGUGCUAAUACCGCAUAAUGUAUCCGGGAGGCAUCUUCCGGAUAAGAAAGGAGCAAUCCGCUUUGAGAUGGGCUCAUGUCUGAUUAGACAGUUGGCGGGUAACGGCCCACCAAAUCUACGAUCAGUAGCCGGACUGAGAGGUUGAACGGCCACAUUGGGACUGAGACACGGCCCAGACUCCUACGGGAGGCAGCAGUGGGGAAUAUUGGACAAUGGGCGAAAGCCUGAUCCAAGCGACGCCGCGUGAAGGAAGAAGGUCUUCGGAUUGUAAACUUUAGUGAGCAGGGACGAUAAUGACGGUACCUGCAUAGCAAGCCACGGCUAACUACGUGCCAGCAGCGGC